rnacentral:rRNA from 1 species
AUGAACAAAGCUGGACGACUGGUGCUCGUCAAGUCAGUGCUUAGCGCGAUACUGAUUCAUCAACUGCUCGCGCUAGCGCCUCCAAAGAAAACCCUGAAGCAACUAGAGAAGAUUCAGCGCAGCUUUCUUUGGGCCGGCCGCGCGGAUGCCCACGGUGGACACUGCCACGUGAAUUGGUGCCGGGUCUGCCGCCCGCUUGAAUAUGGCGGCCUUGGCGUCCGGGACCUUGAGCACACUGGGCUAUCGCUACGGCUGCGCUGGCUAUGGCUUGCGCGUACGGACACAGAUCGAGCAUGA